GUCCUCCAGAGGGCGACAGAGCACCAGCAGAGCCCGCUGCAUCUCCCUGUUUGCAUCUCCAGGCUCAGAUUGGAUUGAAAAGGGACCCAUGGAAUCCCAAGGAGGGGCCCAGAGCCUGGGGUUUGUUUUCAUGGUGCCCUGACACUUCAGCCCAGUGGGACUCCAGUCAGUGAGGGCAUGGACUUUUGCCAUCACGUAUCUGAUUCCAUUCCUGCCAGUCAGGCGGCCAGAGUAUGAGUGAGUUUGACUGGCUCUCCGGGGUCUAAGUGUCCUUUUCUUGUUUGAAUCCUGGACAUGCAGUUUUCAAAUCAGCCUGGCAGGGUGUUUGAAGUCUAGAAACCUGAGCUUCAGGGUCUUAAGGUCCUAUGUCUACACUUUCAGAGUGCGAUCUGUGCUUACGGUGUGGUUCUUUCUCUCCAGGGUUCCCCAAAGCCUCUGUCUGCCUUCUGCAGCUGAGCUGCUUCAGCCUCUGUGGGACACCCAUUUGAAGGAAUCUGUCCAAAUCCAUGUAAGAGAUCUCCUCUUAUUUUUUUCCCUCCCACCUGAGGCUCUUCCUCCUCACUAGACACCUGUUCCAAAGAAGCUCCUGCAACUAGGUGUGGGCUUGUGUCGUGAAGGUUGAGUAUCCAGGGUGACAGUGAAGAAUCCAUACUCCCACCCAAGAGUGGAUUUCAGUGUGCCUGAGAGGAAGAGGAAGUAAGACAUCUUGCUGGCUUGUCCCCCAGGUCAGUGCAGACCAGAGUUUUGCUGUGGGAGGCAGAGGAAGGG
rnacentral:lncRNA from 1 species